rnacentral:rRNA from 1 species
UGCGCAGGCGGCUUGGCAAGACAGGCGUGAAAUCCCCGGGCUCAACCUGGGAAUUGCGCUUGUGACUGCAAGGCUGGAGUGCGGCAGAGGGGGAUGGAAUUCCGCGUGUAGCAGUGAAAUGCGUAGAUAUGCGGAGGAACACCGAUGGCGAAGGCAAUCCCCUGGGCCUGCACUGACGCUCAUGCACGAAAGCGUGGGGAGCAAACAGGAUUAGAUACCCGGGUA